GUACUGAACAAAACAGCAGACAACCAGACCCUGAGGUUAGACCAGGCAAACUGCCUGGCAGCACAGCAGCAGCCUGUACCAAUCAAAGAACAAUGCCUCAGAAGCGCAGUGAAUGUUACCCUCAUCAGUGGCAAAGACUUGGAAUUUCACAAACUUUGUCCAGAUUAGAGGACGAAGCAACAGAGCAGCUGCUGAUGAUUAGUUUCCAUGCACCAUUUUACUCACCUGAUGUCUUCAUCUUCUUA